rnacentral:rRNA from 1 species
AUGAGUCAUCAUGAUGGCAUCAACAUCCUCGAUGACAAGUUCUGCCUAGGAGAUGCUGGCUAUGCAUGUCAGUCAAUUGUUCUUCCACCCUUAAAGAAAACCAGGUACCAUCUGAACGAGUUAUCUAGUAGGAACUAUCAUAUGACUCCUCAGGAACUGUUCAAUUUCAGACACUCCGGCCUUAGAGUAACGGUUGAGGGGGCAUCUGCAGCUCUAGAGAAUAGGUUUAAGAUCUUGGAUCAGAAGCCAUUCCACCCUUACCCUACCCAGGUCAAACUUGUUCUUGCAUGUUGCAUCAUUCACAAAUGUAUCCUGCAAAUGGGGAAUGAUAAACUUGUGCCGGAGGAGGAAAAUGUGACUCAUGAUGAGGUGAUCAGCUCUGGCCAUGGUGCGGAUGCGUUCGGUAGUGAAGCGUGAAAGAACAAGAGGUUGAAGUGAGCUCAGGAAAUAUGGGAUAACACAGGUCAGACAAUGAUAAGAAGAAGAAGAAGAAGAAGAAGAAGAGGCAACAUCAGAAGAGAAGAAGUAGAAGCAGCACAACAGCAACACAAGAAGAGGGAGAGGAAAAGGAUGAACUUCCACCUAAUUAGCAUCGUUGAACUUUCUCCUAUUAAGCCAUAUUUGUUCUUAAUAACUUGUACCGUCAUUUGCUGGUAG